GAUCUUCUGGCAUGAAUGAAUAACCUGAGCCACAAGACAUUUUCUUCUCUCUCUAAGGAAAUCUGUAAAAACUCCACACGAGUCUUCCAGGCAUCAUGAUCCUCCUUUCUAUUUCCAUCUUCUGGCUCUCUGUCUGUGUGGACCCCAUCAGUGCAGAUCCUCACAUUACUGUAGAAGCUCAUGUGGGUUCCACAGCUCUCCUGCCAUGUAGCCUGAGUAAAGACUUCAGCAAAACUCCACAUGUUCAGUGGCGUACUGAUGAUAAGAUUGUGUUUGAGAGA